rnacentral:rRNA from 1 species
CCUACGGGUGGCAGCAGUGGGGGAUAUUGCACAAUGGGGGGAACCCUGAUGCAGCGACGCCGCGUGGGUGAAGGAGUGCUUCGGCAUGUAAAGCCCUAUCGGCAGGGAAGAAGCAAGACGGUACCUGACUAAGAAGCCCCGGCUAACUACGUGCCAGCAGCCGCGGUAAUACGUAGGGGGCGAGCGUUAUCCGGAUUGACUGGGCGUAAAGGGAGUGUAGGCGGCAUAUUAAGUUAUGUGUGAAAGCCCGCGGCUCAACCGCGGAAUUGCACAUAAAACUGGUAAGCUGGAGUGCAGGAGAGGUAAGUGGAAUUCCCGGUGUAGCGGUGGAAUGCGUAGAUAUCGGGAGGAACACCAGAGGCGAAGGCGACUUACUGGACUGUAACUGACGCUGAGGCUCGAAAGCGUGGGGAGCAAACAGGAUUAGAUACCCGUGUAGUC